UACGAAGGGGGGCUAGCGUUGCUCGGAAUUACUGGGCGUAAAGCGUGCGCAGGCGGUUUUGUAAGCCAGAUGUGAAAUCCCCCGGGCUUAACCUGGGAAUGGCAUUUGGGACUGCAAGGCUCGAGUGCGGCAGAGGAGACUGGAAUUCCUGGUGUAGCAGUGAAAUGCGUAGAUAUCAGGAGGAAUACCGAUGGCGAAGGCAGGUCUCUGGGCUGACACUGACGCUCAUGCACGAAAGCGUGGGGAGCAAACAGGAUUAGAAACCCCGA
rnacentral:rRNA from 1 species